GCGGGGGCGGGGCUGAACUUUGACCCGACGCACUGCCCGCCGUGACGUCACUGCGCGGAGCCCGCCCCCCCCCCCGAGCGCCCAGCAGCAGUUGUAGGGUUCGCGAGUGGUGAGGGGGGCGAAGGGGGUCCUCGCUGCCUCUGAGGCACUGGGUCGCCGGGCAGUGUCCAGCGUGGAAACCGGGAGAACUAACUGUGCACGGCGCCCUCCAGGACUUCAGCUUUCUCCAAAGGCGUUUAUAGUGGGUGCUGAAAGAAUGGAGAGGCCGCUUCCUCGGUCAGCGUGGAGUCCGGCGGGAGUGAAAAUCGGUCUGUGCUCGCUGAGGUCGUUCUCAGAAUCCUAGAUGCCGCAGGUGGACCCUCUGGGUCUGGUUCCCUCGGGGCUUACGAUGAAAAACAGCGCCUGGGUGCCAUUAAAUGUGGGAAAGAACUGGAAUGUAGUACCAGUCCAGGAAAAACGCCAGCAGCCACACGUCUCAGGGAGCAGCGUUUCAGCAGUCAUCGUGAAGCAAAGUGUUACAGCUCAGUUGUGACAGCAGCCUGGAUCCUGACAAGAGACCAAGCAGCACUCAGAGGGUUGGAGAACUCAAGUUUAUUAUGCUGGCAGACCCAGAAGAGUUAACUCUCCAAGCUUCGGACCCCAUCUGUAGGUUUACACAGGCUUUUAUAGGCUGCCAGUCUAGACUUUGCAACAUCGUAUGCAAAUAAGGUGUAACAAAGUUGAUUAAUCAGGAACGAGCUUUUUGGAAAUGGACCAAUCAGGAGUGAGCUCAGGGAACCAAUAGAAUCUUAGGGGUAAAUUCUGCUUUCCUAGAAGGAAGCCGUUUUAUACAGGCAAAAAAGCUAGAUAAUGCUGCUGCGACAGGGAACCGGAUGGCGCUGGCAAGAAAGUAGUGGCUCUACCUGGGGGUCCCC